rnacentral:tRNA from 2 species
GCUGGUGUGGCUCAAAGGCAGAGCAGCGGUAUCGUAAACCGCAGGUUGCGAGUUCAAUUCUCGCCACCAGCUCCA